rnacentral:rRNA from 1 species
AUUCACGCUGGCGGCGUGCCUAAUACAUGCAAGUCGCGCGAACAGACGAGGAGCUUGCUCCUCUGACGUUAGCGGCGGACGGGUGAGUAACACGUGGAUAACCUACCUAUAAGACUGGGAUAACUUCGGGAAACCGGAGCUAAUACCGGAUAAUAUAUUGAACCGCAUGGUUCCAUAGUGAAAGACGGUUUUGCUGUCACUUAUAGAUGGAUCCGCGCCGCAUUAGCUAGUUGGUAAGGUAACGGCUUACCAAGGCAACGAUGCGUAGCCGACCUGAGAGGGUGAUCGGCCACACUGGAACUGAGACACGGUCCAGACUCCUACGGGAGGCAGCAGUAGGGAAUCUUCCGCAAUGGGCGAAAGCCUGACGGAGCAACGCCGCGUGAGUGAUGAAGGUCUUCGGAUCGUAAAACUCUGUUAUUAGGGAAGAACAAAUGUGUAAGUAACUAUGCACGUCUUGACGGUACCUAAUCAGAAAGCCACGGCUAACUACGUG